rnacentral:rRNA from 1 species
CCUACGGGAGGCAGCAGUGAGGAAUAUUGGUCAAUGGACGCAAGUCUGAACCAGCCAUGCCGCGUGCAGGAAGACGGCUCUAUGAGUUGUAAACUGCUUUUGUACGAGGGUAAACGCAGAUACGCGUAUCUUUCUGAAAGUAUCGUACGAUUAAGGAUCGGCUAACUCCGUGCCAGCACCCGCGGUAAGACGGAGGAUUCAAGGGUUAUCCGGAUUUAUUGGGUUGAAAGGGUGCGUAGGCGGUCGGAUAAGUUAGAGGUGAAAUCCCGAGGCUCAACUUCGGAAUUGCCUUUGAUACUGGUAGGCUAGAGAGUAGUUGCGGUAGGCGGAAUGUAUGGUGUAGCGGUGAAAUGCUUAGAGAUCAUACAGAACACCGAGUGCGAAGGCAGCUUACCAAGCUACUUCUGACGUUGAGGCACGAAAGCGUGGGGAGCAAACAGGAUUAGAUACCCGUGUAGUC